UGCCCCCUGGGAACAGGGUGCCUGAGUGCGACUCUUAGGCCUGUAUGAUAAAACUGGACUUCUAAUUCCCUCUUUCACGUAAAUCAGAGCCAGUCAUAUCAUUUCUGCCCACAACCCAACAGCCGUAGCGAGCCACAGGGCCCUACCUGACUGCAGAUGGCUGGACGCAUGGGGAGCAGAAGGAAGGUAAUGAACAACACCACCUCCACCAGCCUUUAACAGGAGUGACGUGGCUCUACGUGCGCUUACAGAAAAGGCCUUCAAGACCUGCCGUUAGCUGGAAAAAUAAGAAGAGCAAGCUACAAAACUCACAUAGAAUAUGAUCCCACUUGGCACACAGAGGCCGUGUGAGCACAGCCAGAUGGCGGCUGCUUACAAGCAAGAGGAGGCCUCAGAACGAACCCUACCUUGCCAGACCUUGAUCUUGAACUACCCAGCCUCCAGACUGUGAGAAAAUAAACAUCUGUUGUGUAAG
rnacentral:lncRNA from 1 species